CAGACGCAUGACUACACGCGCUGGACAACAGCGGCCACAACAACACAUACAAAUACAGCUCCUGCUGAUGACGGCUCAGUUACAGACUCUCAGCAGCACAUAUUACAGCUUGUUAGCAAACAACCUGCGAUAAAGUACGAGAAGCAAGUGAAACGCGACACAUUGAUUAAAGAAUGUCUUUGGAGUACACAUCUACCCAACAGAAGCAGAGUUCAAGGUAUCUCUCGGUCUGGCCUGCUCCGCCUCCAUCUUGGUCAUUCCAUUCCAGGUUCUUGGAUGCUUCAUUGAGAUGAUCAACAUCACUGGGAUGCAUAAAAUGUACAUUAUGUAAAUUAAAUAUAUUUAUGUUCAAGCAAAUCUGCAAAUUUCACUUCAUGUGGUUUCUGUCAUUCUGCUUUUGAUGUACAUUUAAUGAUUCAACUCUCAAAAAGACAUUCACUGUACGGCACCCUGUGACAUGAUGUGUGUUACAUUUAUAUUGUGCUUUUCUGGCUACACAGAGUGCUUUGUAUUUACAUGGAAGGGCGGAAUCUCCUCAACCAUGACUCAUUUAUGACUCUGAACAAAAGUGAACAGAAGAAAAAGAUUCAAGUAAAAUGAAUCAUAAUCAACACCACUAAUAUAGAUUUUAUAGAUGUGAACCAAAAAAAAAUCUUUGUGUGUGAGCAUAUUGGCCAAUAAAGCUCUUUUUGCCUGAAU
rnacentral:lncRNA from 1 species